AUGAUGCUUGAUCUGUGCCUAUUUCCAAAUAAUGCAGAGAUCCGUCUUCUUUACUGUGAAACACUAAAACAAUACAAACAUACACUCAGAACCAAAAAAGCACAAUACACCCAAAAACAACUCACAAUAAUUGAGAAGUCAGUGAACACAAACCAGUUCUGGAAUAAUUGGAACAAUCUGAAAAAAACUGAUCGUGAAGAAUUGGCAAUCCAAAAUGGAGAAAUAUGGGAAAGUCAUUUCCAAACAUUGUUUAAUAAAGUACAAACAGACACAAACUGUAAACAAAAUCAAACAAUCAACCAAUUGGGAAAACUAGAAUUAGCAAUCAAAGAUAACCAAAACCCAUUAGAUUUCACAAUAACUGAUAAAGAACUUAAGGUGGAGGUCAGGAGGGUUGACUAUGGAGAUGUUGUUUGCGUCUCUCUUUGGGAUGUUAAGGAACUGUGUGGAGAAGCAGCAUCCAUACCUGUGCAAGCGCUGCAGGUCUCUCUGGUGAACGUGAGGCCAGUGAAUGGAGAAACAUGGUCUUUUGAAACGAUCAGCUGGUUCAAGAGUAAAGUGCAGAACAAGACUCUUUAUGCCAGGCUUUACCCAGAAGAAGGAGAAGUUUUGGUUGAGCUCUUCAUGGAGAAGGGAAAGAUUGGUGCUAUGAGGUGAUGUCCCAGAACAAACCAGACAGCAGUCGUUACAGUGGGAGAAGUAUCUGAUCUCCUGUUACAGUCACAACAGAGAAUAAUGUUCAGUGAUCAGAAAACUCACAUGCUUUUGUCAUUCAUCAUUACAUCAUAACCUUAUACACACUUCACAAUAUCUACUGUAACUAUGCAGAUUUCAUAGUCUGGAGUAUUUGGUGUACAGUUUGUGAACACUGUACAUUUGUUACAAGAUAGAUUGUAUUACAGAAAAUAUUUGAUGAUGUUCGUCGCUGUGGAAUGUGUUCUUUUUGGUUUAGAUAAUUCAUAAUUAAAAAUAACCAGGAAUUGUAAAAUAGAAGCUUGUCUUGUUUCUAAGAAUUUUAGAGUUUACUUUGUGUGUUCUGUUGUUCUUUGGAAAAAUACUGAAAUAUGUACUGUUCUUUGUUUGUUAGUUAACUCUGGCUGGGCAAACUUUACUGUAAUUUUACUCUGGAGCACAUUAACACUUUUAAAACGCUUGACAUGAACGUGUAAAUAUGCACUUGAAGUGCUGAUUAAGAGACACUGUCUGUUCAUGAAGUGCUGAAAGAUCUUUUAAUGGCUUCUCUGUUCAGUGCCUGUUUAGAAAACCUGCAUAUUUGAUUUACGACACGUCGUCUUUUGCAGAUCUGCCAACAAAAACAUGCGUGUCUUUAAAAUAGUUCAAUACAAUUGCACCCUUGGCUACAGUUUUUGUAUACUUUUUUUUUUUUGUAUACAUAAUUUUUGUGUUACUCAUAGUAGUCUAUACACGUUACACACUGCUCUGUGCUGAGCAUUGUUGGGGAAGUUACUCAGAAAUCUAGUUACUAUUAAUAGUUAUUUUCAUGUUACUGUGAAGUGUAUCCUCACUGUUUUGCAAGGUUGUCAAUGUCCAGAACUGUCCCACUUGAAACACCCCACUACAAGAAGAUUUCACUCAUUGACCACACUUUUGCUCUCCUUUUUCCCUUUUUUUAUUAUGAAAGUUUGAUGCAGUGUUC
ensembl:lncRNA